AUCACCGGACUGUGACGCCAUCUCCAUUGCUGAGGUUGAGAUCUUUUGUCACAGGAAGCUCCAAAGGGCUCUUACAUUCACAGAUGCAGAGUUGGAUGAUGAAGUCAUAGCAGAUAUGGAACUUGAUGUUUGUAUGAGUCGGCUAAGGUUUGGAGAGGCUUAUUCUCAAGCACCACCCUCUCUCAAAAUAUAGUAUGUUUAUCUGAUUGGGAGCUAUCUAUAAGAUACAUACGUAGAGUGACCUUAACAUGCUUGAAGAUUCGUUGGGUGAGUUCCUUGAUUUAUGAGACAGGCAAUUGCUUUUUUUU